rnacentral:rRNA from 1 species
GACAGAGGUCCCAAGCGUUAGGCAGAAUCACUGGGCUUAAAGCGUGUGUAGGCGGACUUCUAAGUCCCUUGUGAAAUCCCACGGCUCAACCGUGGAACUGCUUGGUAUACUGGUUGUCUUGGGCCAUCUAGGGGCUAGCGGAACAAACGGUGGAGCGGUGAAAUGCGUAGAUAUCGUUUGGAACGCCAAUGGUGAAAACAGCUAGCUGGGGAUGUGCCGACGCUGAGACACGAAAGCCAGGGGAGCGAACGGG